AGAGUUUGAUCCUGGCUCAGGAUGAACGCUAAGGCCUAACACAUGCAAGUCGAGGGGUAAGAAUGCAGUCGAACGGGACUUUUUUCUGUAGCAAUACAGGAAAAAGUCUAGUGGCGAACGGGUGCGUAACACGUGAGCAACCUGCCGUGAAGUGGGGGAUAGCUCGCCGAAAGGCGAAUUAAUACCGCAUGUGGCCAAGGAAGACAUCUUCCUGACGCCAAAGCCGGGGCAACCUGGCGCUUCUCGAGGGGCUCGCGGCCUAUCAGCUUGUUGGUGAGGUAACGGCUCACCAAGGCUAUGACGGGUAGCUGGUCUGAGAGGACGACCAGCCACACUGGAACUGAGACACGGUCCAGACACCUACGGGUGGCAGCAGUCGAGAAUUUUUCACAAUGGGGGAAACCCUGAUGGAGCGACGCCGCGUGGAGGAUGAAGGUUUUCGGAUUGUAAACUCCUGUCAUUAGAGAACAAGGCACACGGCUUGACUGGCCGUGUGUUGAUAGUAUCUGAAGAGGAAGAGACGGCUAACUCUGUGCCAGCAGCCGCGGUAAUACAGAGGUCUCAAGCGUUGUUCGGAUUCAUUGGGCGUAAAGGGUGCGUAGGUGGCGAUGUAAGUCGGAUGUGAAAUCUCCAAGCUUAACUUGGAAACUGCAUUCGAUACUGCGUUGCUAGAGGACUGUAGAGGGCAUUGGAAUUCACGGUGUAGCAGUGAAAUGCGUAGAUAUCGUGAGGAAGACCAGUGGCGAAGGCGAAUGCCUGGGCAGUUCCUGACACUGAGGCACGAAGGCCAGGGGAGCAAACGGGAUUAGAUACCCCGGUAGUCCUGGCAGUAAACGGUGCACGCUUGGUGUGGGGGGAUUCGACCCCUCCCGUGCCGGAGCCAACGCGUUAAGCGUGCCGCCUGGGGAGUACGGUCGCAAGAUUAAAACUCAAAGGAAUUGACGGGGACCCGCACAAGCGGUGGAGUAUGUGGCUUAAUUCGAUGCAACGCGAAGA
rnacentral:rRNA from 1 species